rnacentral:rRNA from 1 species
CGAACGCUGGCGGCGUGCCUAACACAUGCAAGUCGUGCGAGAAAGUUUCCUUCGGGAAGCGAGUACAGCGGCGCACGGGUGAGUAACACGUAGGUAACCUACCCUCGAGCCUGGGAUAACCUACCGAAAGGUGGGCUAAUACCGGAUAUGACCACGGUGGUUUCGGCCACUGCGGUGAAAGGUGGUCUCUGCUCGCAUGCUAUUACUCGGGGAUGGGCCUGCGCGCCAUUAGCUUGUUGGUGAGGUAACGGCUCACCAAGGCUCCGAUGGCUAGCUGGUCUGAGAGGAUGACCAGCCACACUGGGACUGGAACACGGCCCAGACUCCUACGGGAGGCAGCAGUGGGGGAUAUUGCGCAAUGGGCGAAAGCCUGACGCAGCGACGCCGUGUGGGUGAUGAAGGCCCUCGGGUCGUAAAGCCCUGUCGAGGGGGAAGAAAUCGUCGAGACCCAAUACGUCUCGGCGUUGACGGUACCCCUAAAGGAAGAACCGGCUAACUCCGUG